CUUACAGAGUUUAUUGGCAUUCUGUCCACCUCCUUGUUGAAAUCUCUCUUUCUCUCUCUCUCUCUCUCUCUCUCUCUCGCUCGAGUAUUUUUAUGGAGGUGGGCAUACUGCCAACUGAGCUCUGUUGG
rnacentral:pre_miRNA from 1 species